rnacentral:tRNA from 1 species
CUAGGUAAAGCUUUUCAGAAGUAUUUUAGUUACAUUAAAGAGAACAUUAUUUAAAUUGAUGUGCCUUGA